CGGAAAUCGAAACCAGCUUAUCAGUUUCGGAAUUUCCUGGAUGUUUACUUGUGUAAUUUAAUCAGAUAAUCAGUCCCGUCUUCAACGCUCAGAAUGGCGCGUGUUGACGGUAGUCAAAACGAGGCGUAUUACUUACGUCUCCAUAUGCUUAUAAUGGAAGCACAGAAGGUUUUGAGAGCCAAGUUUGACUCCAUUAUUAAACCUGUUGAUUUACCAAACACACUCGUAAGGGCGAAAGGAACACUAGAUCAGCUAAAAAGAGGUGGUAUUAUAUCAAAUGAACAAUAUAUAUUGUUAAAACCGAAUCCAGAUUCGGGCAAAUUUGACGCGACUCUGUUAACGUGUCUUCUUCAAAACAUCUGUAAUUUAAACCCCAAAGACAAAGUGUGGGUCGAGAAAGAUAACACUAAAAUUAAAGGUAAUACAGACCAGGAAAACAUUCAGCGUAUCAGGAACUUGCGAAACAAAAUGCAACAUAAAAAUGUUGCAAGUUUAGAGAAGCAGGAUUUUGAAAGCAGCUGGAAUGUACUAGAAAAGGUUCAAUGCUUAUGUUUGUUUUCGUAACGGAACGAUAUUAAACACUUUGAAUCUUAAACAAGAAACAUUAGUAACGUAUUGAUUUUCUUACACACAUUGUAGAAGUUGUAUC